GCGGGCGUGGCGGAACUGGUAGACGCGCCAGGUUUAGGUCCUGGUGGCUUAACGGCCGUGGGGGUUCGAGUCCCUUCGCCCGCACCA
rnacentral:tRNA from 1 species